UGUCCAAAGCCCCAAAGUACAUUGUCGAAGCUAGGAAAGGGUCUCGUUUUGGACAUGACACACUUGUUGAUGUCAUGCUUAAGGAUGGACUUUGGGAUGUAUA